AACGGAGGGAGCUAGCGUUGUUCGGAAUUACUGGGCGUAAAGCGCGUGUAGGCGGCUUUGCAAGUCGGGUGUGAAAGCCCUCAGCUCAACUGAGGAAGUGCGCCCGAAACUGCAGAGCUUGAGUGCCGGAGAGGGUGGCGGAAUUCCCCAAGUAGAGGUGAAAUUCGUAGAUAUGGGGAGGAACACCGGUGGCGAAGGCGGCCACCUGGACGGUAACUGACGCUGAGACGCGAAAGCGUGGGGAGCAAACAGG
rnacentral:rRNA from 1 species